UGGGGAAUAUUGCACAAUGGGCGAAAGCCUGAUGCAGCGACGCCGCGUGAGGGAUGACGGCCUUCGGGUUGUAAACCUCUUUCAGCAGGGACGAAGCGCAAGUGACGGUACCUGCAGAAGAAGCACCGGCUAACUACGUGCCAGCAGCCGCGGUAAUACGUAGGGUGCAAGCGUUGUCCGGAAUUACUGGGCGUAAAGAGUUCGUAGGCGGUUUGUCGCGUCGUUUAUGAAAACCAGCAGCUCAACUGCUGGCUUGCAGGCGAUACGGGCAGACUGGAGUACUGCAGGGGAGACGGGAAUUCCUGGUGUAGCGGUGAAAUGCGCAGAUAUCAGGAGGAACACCGGUGGCGAAGGCGGGUCUCUGGGCAGUAACUGACGCUGAGGAACGAAAGCGUGGGUAGCGAACAGG
rnacentral:rRNA from 1 species